UUUUUGAAAAUAAUAUAAAGUCUAGUCUGCCCCCUGAUAAUUUAUUAAAGGGCUGCCGUAUUUUGACUGUACAAAGGUAGCAUAAUCAUUUGUCUCUUAAUUGGUGACUUGUAUGAAAGAUUGGAUGAAAUAUAAACUGUCUCAUUAUAAUUAUUAAAACUUAAUUUUUUAGUUAAAAAGCUAAAAUAUUUUUAAAAGACGAGAAGACCCUAUAGAGUUUAAUAAUUAUUUUAAUAUAAAUAAAAUGUAAAAAUUAAAAUUUAAAUUAAAUUAAUUAUUUUGUUGGGGUGACAGAAAAAUUAAAUUAACUUUUUUUAAAAAUAAACAUGAAUAAGUGAGUAAAUGAUCCAUUAUUAAUGAUUAAAAGAAAAAAUUACCUUAGGGAUAACAGCGUAAUUUUUUUUUUUAGGCCAAAUAAGAAAAAAAGUUUGCGACCCCGAUGUUGGAUUAAGAUAAAAUUUAAAUGCAAAAGUUUAAAAUUUUGAUCUGUUCGAUCAUUAAAA
rnacentral:rRNA from 1 species